CAGGGACUCCUAGAAACACCUGUUGUGUUGCUUUGGUGAGCAGAUGCUGUUCAUCUUCCAUGGCACCUGUAUUUUAUCUGCAUGGAGAAACCUCUACAUGGAUCCCUUGCAUGGGUGUUGUACAAUGGGAGCUUUCAUUCCUGCUUUGGCACCUGCAACCCUGGGUUAACAGUACCAUGGAGCGGAGAAAGCGUUUACCAGAGUGCGGUGCCGCGAUCCCACCCCGUGCAGCAGUUGAGCAGAGGUCAUCUUUAAGUAAAAGCCAUCUGAUAUUUUACUGCAAGCAUGUGGCAGUGAAGACGACAAUGACUGCUAGUAUGGUUUGUGCCACUGCCUUGAUUUCCGCUCAGGCACCAGCAGUCUUACCCACCAUUGCUUUGGUGCAGUUGGUGGAGAUAUCAAUGGAUCAAAAGCGCAA
rnacentral:lncRNA from 10 species